rnacentral:rRNA from 1 species
CUUUCCCUCCAGAGUGGAUCCUGAGUACGGCGGAACACGUGAAAUUCCGUCGGAAUCCGGGAGGACCAUCUCCCAAGGCUAAAUACUCCCUAGUGACCGAUAGUGAACCAGUACCGUGAGGGAAAGGUGAAAAGCACCCCGGAAGGGGAGUGAAACAGUUCCUGAAACCGUGUGCCUACAAGUAGUUAGAGCCCGUUAAUGGGUGAUAGCGUGCCUUUUGUAGAAUGAACCGGCGAGUUACGAUUUGUUGCAAGGUUAAGCGGAAAAAGCGGAGCCGUAGCGAAAGCGAGUCUGAAUAGGGCGCAUAAGUAACAGGUCGUAGACCCGAAACCAGGUGAUCUACCCAUGUCCAGGAUGAAGGUAAGGUAAUACUUACUGGAGGUCCGAACCCACGCACGUUGAAAAGUGCGGGGAUGAGGUGUGGGUAGCGGAGAAAUUCCAAUCGAACUUGGAGAUAGCUGGUUCUCUCCGAAAUAGCUUUAGGGCUAGCCUCGAGGUAAAGAGUCAUGGAGGUAGAGCACUGUUUGGACUAGGGGCCCUUCUCGGGUUACCGAAUUCAGAUAAACUCCGAAUGCCAUGUACUUAUACUCGGGAGUCAGACUGCGAGUGAUAAGAUCCGUAGUCGAAAGGGAAACAGCCCAGACCACCAGUUAAGGUCCCCAAAUAUAUGUUAAGUGGAAAAGGAUGUGGGGUUGCUUAGACAACCAGGAUGUUGGCUUAGAAGCAGCCACCAUUGAAAGAGUGCGUAAUAGCUCACUGGUCGAGUGACCCCGCGCCGAAAAUGUACCGGGGCUAAACAUAUUACCGAAACUGUGGAUGAACCUCUUUAGAGGUUCGUGGUAGGAGAGCGUUCUAAGGGCGGUGAAGUCAGACCGGAAGGACUGGUGGAGCGCUUAGAAGUGAGAAUGCCGGUAUGAGUAGCGAAAGAAGGGUGAGAAUCCCUUCCACCGAAUAUCUAAGGUUUCCUGAGGAAGGCUCGUCCGCUCAGGGUUAGUCGGGACCUAAGCCGAGGCCGAUAGGCGUAGGCGAUGGACAACAGGUAGAGAUUCCUGUACCAGUGCUAAUUGUUUAACCGAUGGGGUGACACAGAAGGAUAGGGAAUCGCACGAAUGGAAAUGUGCGUCCAAGCAGUGAGUGUGAGAAGUAGGCAAAUCCGCUUCU